AUUGAACGCUGGCGGCAUGCUUUACACAUGCAAGUCGAACGGGGUGGGGGGCAACCUUCAUUCAGUGGCGAACGGGUGAGUAAUGCAUCGGAACGUAUCCCGUAGUGGGGGACAACGCCGCGAAAGCGGCGCUAAUACCGCAUAUGCCCUACGGAGGAAAGUGGGGGACCGCAAGGCCUCACGCUCUGGGAGCGGCCGAUGUCGGAUUAGCUAGUUGGUGGGGUAAUGGCCCACCAAGGCGACGAUCGGUAGCUGGUCUGAGAGGAUGAUCAGCCACACUGGGACUGAGACACGGCCCAGACUCCUACGGGAGGCAGCAGUGGGGAAUUUUGGACAAUGGGGGCAACCCUGAUCCAGCCAUGCCGCGUGCGGGAAGAAGGCCUUCGGGUUGUAAACCGCUUUUAGCCGGGAAGAAAAGGCACGUCCUAAUACGGCGUGUUCUUGACGGUACCGGCGGAAUAAGCACCGGCUAACUACGUGCCAGCCGCCGCCGUAAUAC
rnacentral:rRNA from 1 species